GGCUGGCCUACAGCACUAAGUCUGGCAGGGCUCAGAGAAGGAAGCUUCCAAGUGGACUUCAUGCAUCUGAAAAGGAGCCACUCUGGGAGCCGCCUCGGAGGCAGCUCUUCUCACUACCUAGGUAACUUGUGGGUAACAGCGCUGUCAUCUAUGGCUCAAAGCCACUCACCAGGGAGUUGCUGCAGACCUGUAUGUAUCCUUAUACAGAGAAACAGAGAGAGGCUACUGAGGACCUAAGCCGGUGCCUCAUGGAUAAGGAAACUCCAUGGAAGUUAGAGCUGCCCUGUAAUUUGCAUCCCCCAUAUCUUAGAAACCAGAAUGAAAGGCCUACAGCAGAGACUGAAGAGAGGAAGGCUCAUCACUUGGACCACCAAAGAAAGGUCUCAAGAUCCCUCUGCUAUGGUUAAAUCUAGUCAAGCAACCCAUCCCGGUGCUACUGUGGAAUUCCUGCAAGAGGCAGGAGGCGGUUCAGAGUCAUCAAAGCCAUUUUUACAAGGUAGACAUAGGACUGGGGGAUUAAAGGCUUUCAUGGCCUCACUUGCCAACCUGCCUCCCCCCCCCCCCCCAAGGCUCUGGGUGAGUACCUAUUAACUUCUCUCCACUCUCUAAUCCCAAAUCCAUCUCCACUUUGCAUAUCGACAUGAAAGCCAAUGGCGGUGCUGGCUAAGGUCAGACAACUCCAAGGAAAAGGCCUCAGGGGCAGGCAGAUAGGGAGCCAGGUGCUGGGAAAGGCAAUAGGAGAAACCUCAAGCUGGGCUUUAGUCUACCAGCGACUCCCUCCCCUACUGCUGCCAGUGCCUGAGGCACCAGGGCAGUUUGUAUCUUCUCAAGGUGUAUCCCCAGGAACCUUCGGAGGAGGAAUUUGGCCACGGCCUCACAAAGUCUGACUCCUGGUCAGAAUGCCUGGAGUGUGUGAACUAGCUGGGAUUCACCUCAUCCACUGCCAGCACCUCACUUUCUAAAGGCGUCCGGGGUUACAGCUUCUCAGGCGGUGCACUGUGGCAUGCAAAGCCGGAAGACAUUUGGCCUUCAACUGACUCAUACAGACCGGAAGAGGUGUCACGAGCAGUUUCCAAGCAUGGUCACUGCCCCCUGGCGGCCACGACCUAGAGUUGCUACAAGUGAUGAUCAGGCCGAGUGAAGACAAGGACCCUUAAGUCUCCUACUUCCUACAAGGACCCUUAUCUCCCCUUCCAUUCUCCUGAAAGCCUCGAAAGUCUCAAAGGCCCCCAAACUCUCGGACAGGUGGCAAUCACCACCCCAUCUUACAUUCACAAGCACCACUGGCCGCCAGGUGCAACUUUGCGCUCAAUUUCGACGAACUCAGAAGGUCGAACACGCCUACCGCCCAGCUGGGGGCCCAGAGCCAAGUGCGCACCCACUAGGAACAGAGACCCACGCUAAAGAUGUCAAACAGGUUUCCAUUCUCAGUGCCUCCAAAAGCUGGAGCUUGGGCCAGUUCCGCCUUCCGUCCGCUGGGGCCCUCCAGGUCGUCUGCCACCUCCCUCUCCCUGGCAGGGGGUGGCUGACACAUAGCCCAGGAGGCCCCAGGGCGCUGGAGAGCCGCCGAAACCUGUCCAGGAUCCACAAGGCUGUAGAGAUCAAGCUGCCCAUCUAUGGAGAUGCCGGGAGCCGUCCCGGCUCUAGGAAGAGAUGCAAGCCGUGCUCCGACCCCUCCCAAGAGACAAGCGCGGCCCCUGCCUUAUUCAGGCCCGCGCCUACCGGUCCUCGCACGCCGUUUCAUUCUGCUCGGCCUGGCGGCCAGGCACGUCUGGGGCCACAGCAGACUGCAGGGGCGAAGGGGCGGCGCUCAUUGAGGCCGGCGGCGCAGCCAUGGCGUCCCGAACCUGGCGGAGGCCGGGGAGGCGCACCGGGAGGCAGGCACGCUGCGGACUACAAUCCCCACAAGGCCGUGCGGCAAGCCCCGAGAAUGACCUUUGCCUCAACACAAACUCAGCCACACAAAAUCCCUGGAAAAAAAAAAUCAAUAAACAUUUAUUUGAUACAGUGACUUUAA
ensembl:antisense Uckl1os uridine-cytidine kinase 1-like 1, opposite strand